CCUACGGGGUGCAGCAGUGAGGAAUAUUGGUCAAUGGGCGUAAGCCUGAACCAGCCAAGUCGCGUGAGGGAUGAAGGUUCUAUGGAUCGUAAACCUCUUUUAUAAGGGAAUAAAGUGUGGGACGUGUCCUAUUUUGUAUGUACCUUAUGAUUAAGGAUCGGCUAACUCCGUGCCAGCAGCCGCGGUAAUACGGAGGAUCCGAGCGUUAUCCGGUUUUAUUGGGUUUAAAGGGUGGGGAGGCGGCCUUUUAAGUCAGCGGUGAAAGUCCGUGGCUCAACCAUAGCAUUGCCGUUGAAACUGGGGGACUUGAGUAUGUUAGAGGCGGGCGGAAUGCGUGGUGUAGCGGUGAAAUGCUUAGAUAUCACGAAGAACCCCGAUGGCGAAGGCAGCCUGCCAGGCCAUGACUGACGCUGAUGCACGAAAGCGUGGGGAUCGAACAGGAUUAGAUACCCUAGUAGUC
rnacentral:rRNA from 1 species